rnacentral:rRNA from 1 species
GACGACCGCUGGCGGCGUGCUUAACACCUGCAAGUCGAACGAAGCGGCGGACGGGUGAGUAAUGCCUAGGAAUCUGCCUGAUCGUGGGGGAUAACGUCCGGAAACGGGCGCUAAUAACGCCUCCUAUCAGAUGAGCCUAGGUCGGCUUGGCUAGUUGGGGGGGUAAAGGCCUACCAAGGCGACGAUCCGUAACUGGUCGGAGAGGAUGAUCAGCAACACUGGAACGGAGACACGGUCCAGACUCCGACGGGAGGCAGCAGUGGGGAAUAUUGGACAAUGGGCGAAAGCCUGAUCCAGCCAUGCCGCGUGUAUGAAGAAGGCCUUCGGGUUGUAAAGUACUUUCAGCGGGGAGGCGUUACCCGCAGAAGAAGCACCGGCUAACUCCGUGCCAGCAGCCGCGGUAAUAC